rnacentral:misc_RNA from 1 species
UGUGGGUCGUGGCUUGCCUUGCGUGUCCCGUGCCGGUGCGUGUCCAACUCACAGUUGUUUUGUCAUUUUGUUUACUUGUUUUCCAAGAUGGAUGUAGAAAGGCUCAUUGAAAUCGUUAGGGAUAAUCCCGUCCUGUAUGAUACCAACCACGAUAAUUACAUGAGGACAAAAUUAAAAGACGAAAUAUGGGAGGAAAUAGGACUUGAAUUGAAUACCGAUGGUAAUUCAGUCAAGGAUCAAUGGCGGAAGCUUCGUGAUUCCCAUCGCGAAGCUCUACGAAGGCAAAGCUCCAAAAUCAGCCACAAGAGUGGACCAGUCAGGCUGUGGCUCUAUCAGAAGGAAAUGGAAUUCUUAAUACCUCAUAUGAAAAACAGGACCACUGCGGGUACCCUUACAGCAACAUACAACCUAGGGGAUGCAAUAGAGUACCCCGAACUUCAGCUGUCCGAUGAAAUAAAGUCGGAGCACAUCGACGACACUACAGUACCUGUUGAUGAAGCGCCAAAUGAUGCUGAAGAAGUGGAAUGUUUUCAGCGCCCAAAAGCAAUCAAAAGAACUAUAGUCACCCUCAGUGAACCAAUCAAACGGUACAUCAACAAUAGCGAGGAAAGGGUCAAAAGGAAACUGAUACAGCAUUUGAGCCAAGGAGAAAAGGAAUCACAUCGAGAUGAUGCCUUAUACCAAUUCUUCAUGUCGAUGUACACCAUCACUAAAAAGCUCCCGAUGAGGUACCAGAGGCAAGUCAGGAGGAAAGUGUUGGAAGAGGUAUCAAAAGCAGAAGAAGAAAGCGAAAGUGACUCCAUAGGUUCAACGGAAAGUGGUAUGCCUUCUACAUUGUCACCUACUACAUCCUACUAACCACCUCCCGACAAAAUUUGUUCAUGGGGAUGUCAAGAUUGCGAUGCCGCCAAGGAAUACCAUGAAGACCAGAAAGCGAAGAAAGCGAAACUGACCCGAUAGGUUCAAUUGGAAGUGGGAUGCCAUCUUCUUUUUUACCUACUACAUCCUACUCACCACUUCUCGACAAAGCUUUUGUAUGUGGAGAUGUGAAAAUGGCGAUGCCGUCAAGGAAUUCAAGGAAACAUAAUGGCAUGAAAAGAUCUUUCAAACUAUUAAAAUUGUAUCUUAUUAAAAUUUCGAUAUCUCAUA